rnacentral:rRNA from 1 species
UACGGAGGAGGCAAGCGUUAUCCGGAAUUAUUGGGCGUAAAGCGUCCGCCGGUGGCACUUCAAGUCUGUCGUCAAAGACUGGGGCUUAACCCUGGAAAGGCGGUGGAAACUGAAGCGCUAGAGUGCGGUAGGGGUAGAGGGAAUUCCCGGUGUAGCGGUGAAAUGCGUAGAGAUCGGCAGGAACACCCAGGGAGAAAUCAGCCGCCUGGGCAAGUGCUGACGCUGAGGUGCGAAAGCGUGGGGAGCAAACAGG